AGUGAACGCUGGCGGUAGGCCUAACACAUGCAAGUCGAACGGCAGCACAGUAAGAGCUUGCUCUUACGGGUGGCGAGUGGCGGACGGGUGAGGAAUACAUCGGAAUCUACUUUUUCGUGGGGGAUAACGUAGGGAAACUUACGCUAAUACCGCAUACGACCUACGGGUGAAAGCAGGGGAUCUUCGGACCUUGCGCGAUUGAAUGAGCCGAUGUCGGAUUAGCUAGUUGGCGGGGUAAAGGCCCACCAAGGCGACGAUCCGCAGCUGGUCUGAGAGGAUGAUCAGGCAAAACUGAACUGAGAAACGGUCCAGACUCCCACGGGAAGCAGCAGUUGGGAAUAUUUGACCAUUGGCGGAAGCCCGAUCCAGCCCUACCGGGUGGGUGAAGAAGGCCUUCGGGUUGUAAAGCCCUUUUGUUUGGAAAGAAAAGCAGCAGGUUAAUACCCCGCUGUUCUGACGGUACCCAAAGAAUGAGCACCGGCUAACUUCGUG
rnacentral:rRNA from 1 species